rnacentral:lncRNA from 1 species
GAACAUAAGGAUUUUUAAACUAUCAACUUUUUUGCACACUUAAUUACUUAGGCCUGAAUUUUAAAAAUCUAAUUGUAGCCAUAUGUAUUAGUUCAUUUUCACACUGCUGUAAAGAUACUACCUGAGACUGGGUAAUUUAUAAAGAAAAAAUCAUUUAAUUGAUUUCACAUUUCCACAUGGCUCGGGAGGCCUUAGGACAUUUACAAUCAUGGCAGAAGGCAAAAGG